rnacentral:lncRNA from 1 species
UCGAUGGUCCUUUGAAUAUAUAUAUCCACUUUAUAAAUUUGUUUGCCAAGAUCCAAAAUGCCCUACUCAUUAAAGAAUAUGUCGAAAAUCCUUCGAAUAUAUACCCACUUUAUAAAAAAACUAAUGAUAUGGUAGCGACCAAACAUCGGUCGUUUACACAUUGUUUGCACUGGUUGAAUACUACAUGCAGCAUCUUGUGCUCCCCAGUUCAUCCCCUCCUCCGACUCUUGUGACCCCCUCCAAGGCUAAUCUAUCCUCCACCCCGCACACCGUCACACGUGUCGCCCCACCCCACCCUGCCCACAGAUGUUAGAAAUUUAAUCUCGCAAUCUUAAAUACUAUAUGAAAGUCAACAACUUAAAAUCAAAAUAAUAGGUUGGAUCCUUGCUUAACAAUAAGACUGGUAGCUACCAUUGUUGGGUAAUCUGCAUAUAUUUGUGAUAUAUAUGCAGCAGUCAACACAGACCUACACAAAGGUAAAUUCAUUAUAACCAUUAAAAAAUGAUGUAGAUUGUCUAAUGUGGAAUAGAUCACAUGAUAUGUUCUCUUUUUAUGGAAGUCCGUCGGUGGCCUAAAAGAACUUCAUUAUGACCAUUUCUUGUUUAAAAAAUUGAUAUAUCCGACAUCUAAGAAGAUCAGCACAUAAUACUGUAUGCAUCUGUUUGAGCUAGUGAUGCAGCUCAGCAAGUAGAUUGCAUAUGUCUGCUGCUUUUGUUUCACUUUGCUAAUUUUUUAUGUGCAAAACCAAUUUAUCUGUAUAUCAAAGACCAAUUUUCACUGUAUAUUUUGGAACUUACCACAAAUCGCAGGUCGAAUACGUGGCGCCAUGUCGGGGAAAUGACACCUAUGGAUCACUGGGAUCCCUUCUACGGUUGGCGGGCGCAGGGUUGUGAGAAGAGCAGGUCUAAUAGGAAGCACACAGAUCGUUUACCCAGGUUCGGGCCGCGAGGAUGCGUAACACCCUAGUCCUGCUUUGGUGGAUGUAUUGAGUGUUCUUGUGUUCUUGAGCUAGCUACGAGGGUGUAACUUGCCCAAAAGAGCCGAAUCCUUCUCCUGGUCGCCUCGGGCCUCCUUUUAUAGGCAAAAGGGGUCGUCACAGUGGCACACAGGAAGUGGAAAGGUGUACAGCGCGCGAGCUUAUCGCCCGGCGUUACGAGACAAAGUGCAUUAAAUGCGCUACUUAGGUGUCCAUUAGCUUUAUCAGGGACGGGAACGAGGCCCGUCCCUUCCGUCGCCGCUCCGCCCUGCUUCGACACGCGCCCAGGCCAGCGAUGCAUGCGGUGCCAUGUAGGCAGGCAGGCAGCUUAGGUGGCGCGGUGGCAGGGCAUUCACAAAGAUCUGCAUGCCACCACGCAGGUGCUUGCUGAGUUGGUGUAGAGGCCACUCGUCGCCACGCAGGUGCCUGCCCCGCUGGUUGAGCUAGCUGCUGCUUGGGGAACGGCGGUGGAGUCUUGACUGGUGCGGGCCUGGCAAUGGCCCUGCUGAUGCCCUCGGCAAGGGUCUUGCCGGGGGCUCGACAAGGGUCUUGCCGUGGCGUGGCAGUCGUUCUGGCAAGGCGCUUGCCGGGGGUCUUGUGGAUCUCCUCGGCUAGGAUCCCGCUGAGGGUCGCCGUCUUGUGGUCCUCAUCUGAUCUUGUGUGUUCAUGAUCUUGACGAAGAUCUGUAUGCCACCAAAGAGGCGCCUCCCGAGCCCUGGUUCCAAUGUAGUUGGUUGGCUGGUGUUGGAACCCACGGGCUCUAGGGUGGCCUGCUCUGCUGGCAUCGGGCAAGUUGCCCCGGCAAGGCUCUUGCCGGGGCCGCGGAGAAAUGCUUGUCCUUUCAAUCGUACAAAAAAUUAUUUGGACAAUAAUCUGACCUACUUGUCCUGAAGCAUUGCCACUCGCAUGUUCUGGUGGCUCCGCAGUCACCUCGUCACGCCCAUGAGUACUCAGACCGUCACACCAUUUAGAUUCAUCUUCAGAAAAAAAAACUCUCUUUUAGUAAUGCAGAGCACAUUCCAAUCUAAAAACUAAAUCACGAACUCUGCAUUUUCUGCUAAUCUAAUACUCCCCAUAAUGGUCUCCCCCCAUCCCAACUUCGUGAAUUACUUAAUGACCUGCAUCAACAAAAAUACUGUGUCUACAACUCUUCAUUCAUUAGUUUAGAUUUCACUCUAAACCUGGAACAGUAUGAAUCUGCAUACCUUCUCAUCAUCCCAGGAACCCUCCCUUCCAGCAAUCACCACGGCAUCCAUAUCAUAGAACUGAUGGGUUUGUGAUUGUAUUUAUGACAUUUUUACGCUGAAAAGAACACAAUAAUACAGGUCAUAGUAUAAGAAAAUUACAAUACAUGGAAGCAUGUCAACUUCUGAUACUGUUUCAGUUAAAUUUUACUAAGGUAGAAAUAAAGCUCACAUAGUUAUCCACGAAAUUUUGUAGUUCAAACUGAGCCUUAGCAUCACCGCUUGUAUAGAAAAAGUCGCAUCAACAGUUAUUUUCAUGAAG